rnacentral:lncRNA from 1 species
CGGCGCGUCGCGUUGCCAAGAUCCGUCGCAUUGCUUCGCUCUCCUAAUUACUACCGAGUACUGUAGUAAGAAGGCGAGCGACGCAUCGUGACGCUUUGUGUACUUUGUGAGCCCGCGCCCGCCAUCGCUUGCACCAUCCCGCUUUGACAAUUGCCCAAGCGAUGGCGCAACUGAUGACAAAGCGUGACAAUUGCGCAAGUGAUGGCGCAAGCGAUGUCAAAGUGUGAUGGCGCCAUCGCUUGCGCCAUCACGCUUUCGCGUACAUCAAGCAUGAUGGUGCAUUUGUGCACCAUCACGCUUUGUGUACUUUGUGAGUCCAUGCUCGCCAUCUCUUGCACAAUUGUCCAUCACGCUCGCCAUCGCGCAAGCUUGAUGGCGAGCGUGAGUACACAAAAUGGUGAUGGUGAGUAGCUUUAAAGGAUUAUACCUCGAAAACGGUGCCAUUUACAUCAUAUGUUUAUUAGACAUUUUCGACUUGUUUCGAUGUCCCCUAUCAGUACAUAAAUUU